ACACCGGCGGCCCGAGUGGUAAUCACUUUUAUUGGGUCUAAAGGGUCCGUAGCCGGUUUGAUCAGUUCUUCGGGAAAUCUGACAGCUUAACUGUUAGGCUUCUGGGGAAUACUGUCAGACUUGGGACCGGGAGAGGUAAGAGGUACUACAGGGGUAGGAGUGAAAUCUUGUAAUCCUUGUGGGACCACCAGUGGCGAAGGCGUCUUACCAGAACGGGUCCGACGGUGAGGGACGAAAGCUGGGGGCACGAACCGGAUUAGAUACCCGGGUAGUCCCAGCCGUAAACGAUGUUCGCUAGGUGUCAGGGACGGUGCGACCGUUUCUGGUGCCGCAGGGAAGCCGUGAAGCGAACCACCUGGGAAGUACGGCCGCAAGGCUGAA
rnacentral:rRNA from 2 species